rnacentral:rRNA from 1 species
UACGUAGGGUGCAAGCGUUAAUCGGAAUUACUGGGCGUAAAGCGUGCGCAGGCGGCUUUGCAAGACAGAUGUGAAAUCCCCGGGCUUAACCUGGGAACUGCGUCUGAUACUGGGAGGCUUGAGUAUGGGAGAGGGAUGUAGAAUUCCAAGUGUAGCGGUGAAAUGCGUAGAUAUCUGGAGGAAUACCGGUGGCGAAGGCGGCAUCCUGGACCAUUACUGACGCUGAGGCGCGAAAGCUAGGGGAGCAAACGGG